ACACAACAGCUGCUAUAGACAGCCUGUUCAAUAAUGGCGUCAAUGGGUUACAAUAUAUAGGUUUGGCCACCAGGUGGCGCGCUUGGGCUGGUAAUGAAACUGCCAUUGUAGGCCUUGAACUAAAGAGCUUUUUUGUGAUGAGUUAUUUGUUUGUUUCAUCUGUAAUGUAGGUACAGCAAACGGGCAGUUGAUUCAUGUUCACAGGUUUUAGUCAAAGUAUAGUUGAUUUGUUAGUUGUAAUUUAUAAUACAGUAAAAAUAAUUUAGGUUUUAAAGACAAUUAAAUUACCCAGGAAGCUUUUAAGCAUGUUUAGGCUGAUUGUCAAUUUGCCUGUGUAACGUUUUAUAUUUGAUAUCAGUUGUAAAUAGUGACAGUUUGCUUGUGGCCGUAGUUCUAUGAUGAUGAUGAUGAAUAAUUAUAUAAUAAUAAUAACCCUAAUAACAAUAAAAUUACUACUACUUCUACUACUUCUACUACUACUACUAAUAAUAAUAAUAACUACAAAGCGUAGUUACAUGGGUAUGCUAGUAUACCCAUGUAACUACGAAGUAACACACACGCAGCCGUGUGUGUUACUUCAUAUUACUUCUAUCAAUUUCACUGUUUGACUUAGUUACUAGACGUUUCCUUGAUGUGACUGAUGAAUGUGUUUGUUCCUGCUCCUGAUGUUGGAUGGUCAGGCAUUGAACAUUUGUAUUGUUUCUAUUUAUUGAAUUGUUUUCUGUUCUUUGAACUCGAGGCAUUGAAGCUGAACGUUAUUAAUAAUAAUAUAUUGUUUGUGUUGGGUAGAAAAAAAUCAAAGAAAAGAAAAGUUAAAAAAAAUAGAAAAAUGUGGCAUUCAUAAAAGUGGUAUCGCUUUUGCAUUGUUAUCCAGCCCUAACCCUAACCACAAUAACCUCUAAAGCCGCUGAACGUAGCAACUUAGCUAGCUGCUAGCUGUUCGCGAGUAGGGAGAGCAGGCACCUACCGGCCCGUACCGGCUCGUUAUGGCUGAUAACAUCCGAAGCGGGUGUUUGGUAUCCAUAGCUGUCAGUUUGAAAAAGCUUGGUGGCAGUGAAAAUUGUUUUUCUCGAAGCUUCCAGAGACCAAACAUGGAGACGUUCAGUGCUCCGCUGGCAGUGAUUCUGACGUGAAACAUUUUAACUUGACCGAAUCCAACAUGACCAUAGAGGUCAAAAUCAAACCUGGAGAUAACUUCGUUUUUUACUGUCAGACUCCCAGUGGUCUACGCUCCUGGAUGAUGGGAUCCCCCCUAAACUCAUCAAAAUAUGUCGCCUUCAUGAGGGGAAAAAAAUUUCUUAAAAAUUACCAAUAUGAACAUUAUAUUAAACGAGUGGAUCUGAAAAAACCUAUGAACAUUUUUGUGAAUUUGACAGACGUCACGAGCAACGAUACAGGAAAAUAUCCGUGUUCUGUUGUAUAUGGAAACACAACUAAUUUCACUAUCAUCCUGACUGUAGCAGAAAACACAGAGAAGAUGAAGAACGAAGGACAUAGGGUUGAACUACAAGAACAUCAACAUUUUGGACUAGUAGCUGCUCUUCUUGUCAUUUUGCUUUUUGUUAUGGUUUUGUGUGGUUGUGCUUAUAAAAAUUAUAGAAAAUGUAAAUGUGUGUGUUAAGAAUUACAAUAAAGACAUGUACCAAAAAUGAAAA